rnacentral:rRNA from 1 species
AUGCAGCUGGCAACUAUGGGGAUGUCGGAUGUGAGGUACGCCCCGGAGCCGAACUUGAGCCCCAACUGCAACCUGACCCUGUUCUUCGAGAAGGUUGUUGGUGCCCUGGAGCGGCUCCACUCCAACCGGGCGGCCUCUCUGGCCGAUGAGGCCCGGAGGCUUUGCCGGGGUGCCAUGACCAAGGUCCUCACCAAGGUGGCGCACUGGAAUCCCAACCUCGACUUUGAUGCCGCGCUGGAGAGCUUGUCGGAGGAUGCGGACCUCACGGUGCUCAAGGAUCAUAUCGAUCCCAUCAUCAGCCGCAUCGAUGGAAUUCAGAGGAUAGAGGGCCAGCGUCGGGAUUAG